GACUUCGUGGUGUAGUGGUCAGCACGCUCGACGCAUAUUCGAGAGGUCCGAGGUUCGAGUCCCAGCGAGGGCA
rnacentral:tRNA from 1 species